AAACAUUUGUAAACUAAUCUAACAGCUGUAGAAUGAAAAAUAAUCUUCCCUUUUCUGUAUGCAUUCUUGUAAAAUAUAAUUUAAGGAAAUUCUGUUUAAAUAUAUGCCCAUACUAAACAAAAUGACAUUUUUUUAAUUGUUUACAAUACUGUUAUGAAUUUUGAAUAGUGUCAGCUUUUUGUUUUGUCACUGGAGCUUCACCACUCUGAGCAAGUGUGUCAUGUCCAUCCCCCCCCCCCCAGCCUUCCAUUAGAGAAAAGAUAGGGGAAAGAUACUACAGUGCCAAAGCUUCCUCCAAUGUGGUGGAGACCAGGCUCAGACCUGGGUCAUGCAUAUGGCAAAGUAAGUGCACCAUAAGUGUCAUUCUUAAUGAAAUAACUAUGAGGUCUGAAUUUGAAUGGGAGGUCCUUUUACUCCUGGAAUCUCUCAACUAUUAUAAAAAGUAAUAAAUAGGGAGUUGGGCAGUAGCACAGCGGAUUAAGCACACAUGGUGCAAAGCGGAAGGGGCAUAAGGAUCCCGGUUCGAGCCCCUGGCUCCCCACCUGCGGGGAGAGGGGGGUUGCUUCACAAGCAGUGAAGCAGGUCUGCAGGUGUCUUUCUCUCCCCCUCUGUCUUCUCCUCUCUCCAUUUCUCUCUGUCCUGUCCAACAACAAUGACAUCAAUAAUAAUAAUCACAACACCGAUAAAACAACAAGGGCAACAAAAAGGGAAAAAUAGUCUCCAAGAGCAGUGGAUUCGUGGUGCAGGCACUGAGCCCCAGCAAUAACCCUGGAGGCAAAAAAAAAAAAGUAAUAAAUAAAAAAGAAGCAAAACUCAAGUUAGUAACUUUUCUCCAUUAGUGACAAUUUAGAGAAUUCUAAAUUGAAAAAUGUCUAUAUCACUAUAGUUUUCAGUACACUAAAAUAUAGUAACAUUGGGGCUAAAAGUUGGCUCACCAGGUAGAGGGCACAUUUUGCCAAGUGUGAGGACCUGAGUUUGAGUCCAAGACUGGCAAGUGGGAGCACCAUACAGAGGAGAAGCUUUAAGAGCAGUGAAGUUGUACUGAUGAUGUCCACCAUCUUUCUUUUGUACUGUCCCCCUCAGCCUUUCAGUCUCGGAGGCAGGAAGGGUUGGGUUGUCCAAUAAAAGCAUAGAGUAAUGUAUGCACAAAACCCCAGUGAAA